AAGACUAUAGACCUGCGGAGUACCUGCGGAGGGAUCAUUACAGAGUUCAUGCCCUCACGGGUAGAUCUCCCACCCUUGAAUACUAUACCUUUGUUGCUUUGGCGGGCCGCUUUGGCUACUGGCUCUGGCUAGUAAGUGCCCGCCAAAGAACCUUAAAACUCUGAAUAUUAGUGUCGUCUGAGUACUAUAUAAUAGUUAAAACUUUUAGCAAUGGAUCUCU
rnacentral:misc_RNA from 1 species